AUUGAACGCUGGCGGCAUGCUUUACACAUGCAAGUCGAACGGCAGCGCGGGCUUCGGCCUGGCGGCGAGUGGCGAACGGGUGAGUAAUGCAUCGGAACGUGCCCAGUAGUGGGGGAUAGCCCGGCGAAAGCCGGAUUAAUACCGCAUACGACCUGAGGGUGAAAGCGGGGGACCGAAAGGCCUCGCGCCAUUGGAGCGGCCGAUGUCGGAUUAGCUAGUUGGUGGGGUUAAGGCUUACCAAGGCGACGAUCCGUAGCUGGUCUGAGAGGACGACCAGCCACACGGGGACUGAGACACGGCCCAGACUCCUACGGGAGGCAGCAGUGGGGAAUUUUGGACAAUGGGGGCAACCCUGAUCCAGCCAUGCCGCGUGCGGGAAGAAGGCCUUCGGGUUGUAAACCGCUUUUGUUCGGGAAGAAAUCCUCUGGGCUAAUACCCCGGGGGGAUGACGGUACCGGAAGAAUAAGCACCGGCUAACUACGUG
rnacentral:rRNA from 1 species